GGCUGCAGUAGGGAAUCUUCCGCAAUGGGCGAAAGCCUGACGGAGCAAUGCCGCGUGAGUGAUGAAGGUUUUCGGAUCGUAAAGCUCUGUUGCCAGGGAAGAACGCUUGGGAGAGUAACUGCUCUCAAGGUGACGGUACCUGAGAAGAAAGCCCCGGCUAACUACGUGCCAGCAGCCGCGGUAAUACGUAGGGGGCAAGCGUUGUCCGGAAUUAUUGGGCGUAAAGCGCGCGCAGGCGGUCAUUUAAGUCUGGUGUUUAAUCCCGGGGCUCAACCCCGGAUCGCACUGGAAACUGGGUGACUUGAGUGCAGAAGAGGAGAGUGGAAUUCCACGUGUAGCGGUGAAAUGCGUAGAUAUGUGGAGGAACACCAGUGGCGAAGGCGACUCUCUGGGCUGUAACUGACGCUGAGGCGCGAAAGCGUGGGGAGCAAACAGGAUUAGAUACCCCAGGUAGUCA
rnacentral:rRNA from 1 species